UACGUAGGGGGCGAGCGUUGUCCGGAUUUAUUGGGCGUAAAGAGCUCGUAGGCGGUUCGAUAAGUCGGACGUGAAAUCUCCACGCUCAACGUGGAGGGGCCGUUCGAUACUGUCGUGACUCGAGUCCGGUAGGGGAGUGUGGAAUUCCCGGUGUAGCGGUGAAAUGCGCAGAGAUCGGGAGGAACACCCGUAGCGAAGGCGGCACUCUGGGCCGGCACUGACGCUGAGGAGCGAAAGCCAGGGGAGCGAACGGG
rnacentral:rRNA from 1 species